rnacentral:rRNA from 1 species
UACGGGGGGGGCAAGCGUUGUUCGGAAUUACUGGGCGUAAAGGGCUCGUAGGCGGCCAACUAAGUCAGACGUGAAAUCCCCAGGCUCAACCUGGGAACUGCGUCUGAUACUGGAUGGCUUGAAUCCGGGAGAGGGAUGCAGAAUUCCAGGUGUAGCGGUGAAAUGCGUAGAGAUGUGGAGGAACACCAGUGGCGAAGGCGACUCUUUGGCCUGUAACUGACGCUGAGGCGCGAAAGCGUGGGGAGCAAACAGGG